rnacentral:rRNA from 1 species
CGUGUAGGCGGCAUGACGUGUUGGAUGUGAAAGCCCCCGGCUUAACCGGGGAAUCGCGUUCAAAACUGUCAAGCUUGAGUGGAGUAGGGGAGAGUGGAACUCUGGGUGGAGCGGUGAUAUGCGUUGAUAUCCAGAGGAACGCCGGUGGCGAAAGCGACUCUCUGGGCUCCAACUGACGCUGAGGCGCGAAAGCCAGGGGAGCAAACGGGAUUAGAUACCCCGGUAGUCCUGGCCCUAAACGAUGGGCACUAAGUGGGGGAGAUUCGACGUCUACCCUGCUGGAGCAAAUGUGUUAAGUGCCCCGCCUGGGGAGUACGGUCGCAAGGCUAAA